AUGAGGUGGAUCAGGAAUAUAUUUAUAUUUGCACUAUUCAUUCUUUAGUGCAGAUCAGAAGACAAAGUUGAUCAGCCAGAGGAAUAUGUGACUGCAGUUGAAGGAAAAUCAGUGACAUUAGAUUGUACAUAUACAACAAACUCAACACAACCAUACCUCUUCUGGUACAUUCAGAGAGCAAAUGACCUUCCUAGAUACAUACUGAGGAGAGACAAAUAUGGAGGAGCAGAUAAUGAUGCUCAGUUUCAGGAGAGAUUUCACUCUAAACUUUCAUCAGAUUCAGUUCCAUUGACAAUCCAGAAUCUGUGUGUGUCUGACUCUGCUGUGUACUACUGUGCUCUGAGGCCCACAGUAUAA